UCGCUUUUGGAUGGACCCGCGGCGAUUAGCUAGUUGGUGAGGUAACGGCUCACCAAGGCAAUGAUACGUAGCCGAACUGAGAGGUUGAUCGGCCACAUUGGGACUGAGACACGGCCCAAACUCCUACGGGAGGCAGCAGUAGGGAAUCUUCCACAAUGGACGCAAGUCUGAUGGAGCAACGCCGCGUGAGUGAAGAAGGCUUUCGGGUCGUAAAACUCUGUUGUUGGAGAAGAAUGGUCGGCAGAGUAACUAUUGUCGGCGUGACGGUAGCUUACCAGAAAGGGACGGCUAACUACGUGCCAGCAGCCGCGGUAAUACGUAGGUCCCGAGCGUUGUCCGGAUUUAUUGGGCGUAAGGCGAGCGCAGGCGGUUUGAUAAGUCUGAAGUUAAAGGCUGUGGCUCAACCAUAGUUCGCUUUGGAAACUGUCAAACUUGAGUGCAGAAGGGGAGAGUGGAAUUCCAUGUGUAGCGGUGAAAUGCGUAGAUAUAUGGAGGAACACCGGUGGCGAAAGCGGCUCUCUGGUCUGUAACUGAC
rnacentral:rRNA from 1 species